ensembl:lncRNA
GAAAGGAAUUGGGAUGGCCUAGCUAAGGUCUUAGCUUGACUUUGAGAUAUCUGGGACAGGAAUCUUGUCUUCUGUCGUGUUUCAUUAUGUGCAGCAGCUCAAGUGACGUGGAUUCUCUUGAAAGAAAGACUUCUAUGUGCUGCUCUUAUAAUGUGAAGAAACAAUUUGGCCAGCGUAAGGAGGGAAGCGCAUGCUGAUGCAGAAAGUAAUGUUGCAAACAGGCCAGCAAACACCCUAACUGAAUAAGAACACUUCCUGGGAGGAUCUUAAGAGGUCUGGGCAGAUGUUUCUACACCACUACUGUUACUGGCAAUUACAAACUUUGCAGCCAUCUCCAGAAUGCUUUGCUUCAAAAUCAUUCCUCGUGUAUGUAAGCCUAUCAGACCCAGCAGCACUCCUACGCCUUUUACCACCACUAAGGGCUUUUCAUCUGGGUACAAGGUUGGGAUUGCGGCAACGCUGACUCUUGAAUUUGGUGGAGUACUCUGGAGGAGAAAGGAGAUGUGUCCAAUCGGUGACUAGACAACGGUGCAGAAGCAAGGCUGAGAAGAGAGUUCACUCAAGCAGAGCCGGGGGAACCAGGCUGGAGAAAGAAAAGAAGUGGGAGCAAAAUCCCAGAGAUCACCUAUAGCAGAGAUCGGUAAUCUCCUGGGACAGAGAAAUAAAUCUGAAGGAUGUGAGACUAAUAUUACCGUGCCAAUAGUAGAGGUAGUUAAUAUUUUUGGUAUUAUCUAGUGUGGCAAAGAUUUAGAAUUGCAAUAACUUGCAGCAACAAUGUCAACAUACAGCAGAUCACAGUACCCAGCUAUUUUGGAACUAUCUUAGCAAAAGGCA